rnacentral:lncRNA from 1 species
CCAGUCAACAUCAGAGAUGCCCCCCACCCCACCCCCACCCCAACAGAAGGGAUCACCACCUUUUGACUAUUCCUUCCUCAUUCACUCAAGGGAUCCAGAUCCAUAUCCACCAUAUGAAAACAAUAAAAACAACAAAUUUUGCUCCAGUUUGCUGGCCCCUGCUUCCAAGGUAACUGCACGCACACAAACUCCAUUUCCACAGAAUGUGAGAUUUUACUCAUCAAAAAGUCUUCAUAAUCAACUGACAACCUAUCUGCUUCAACAGUGUUGAAUCUCUUUCAUAAUUUCAAAUAUGUCUGUGUCUACUGAUGCUAUGUUAGUUCUUAAGUCUCAAAAUUAUCCUUUAGCAUUAAAAUAAAACCUGCAUUGUUGAAACCUAAGUACCUUGG